UGAAGAUCGUUUAUCACUUUAAUACAUAGAUGGAAUACUUGUCGUAUAUCGAAAAAGGAACAGUGUGAAACUUACAAAUGACGUAAUUAUUCAUACUAUUAGCCUAUAAAUUUGGAUUGUGGUUUUUCUGAGGAUGUUGAUGCUUGUACACAAACUGACAGCUUACAUAAUUUGUCACUCACUCAAGAAGAAUUUCGCGCCCAAUUUGUGUACAAAAAUGGGUAGAAUAAUGGAGCCAGGGAUGCAUGCCAGGCCGAUAUACACGGUAUGCAAAUAAACGGAGGAUGCGAUCAUUGUAUCAUCGCAACCAUAGGGAUCGAACAAGGUCCCAUUGUCCGGUAAAGCAGACACUAUGCACACCGAUGUGGUCUCACCGGGUCUCACGUGUUCGAACUGUUCGAAUCUAUUAGGAGAACAUACAACAAAAUCCUGGCGGAGAGGUUACCUGGUGAAUAAUUCGGGGAACCAAACCAUUAGAGUGUAAUAGCUGCUGGUGAGACCGAAUUGAAUAGCGCAGGCGAGCACCGUGUUGCGCAAAUAAGGCGGCUUGCAAAGUGCGCUCGUCAGAUCUCGUAUUUCCGUGAAGAGGACCUUCAGAUCCUUCCGUUUGUG